UAAUGUGAUUAAACCUGACUGGAUAUACUUGAACCCAUCUGAUCUUGGAAGCUAAGUGCUGGGCUGGCUUGGCUGGGAGAUCACCUUGGAACCUGAGCUGCUGUAGUUC
rnacentral:rRNA from 1 species